GCGGGGGAGGAGGGGUAACCAGGGAAGCGUGGGGUACUGGGGGCAACCAGGGGAAGAUGGGGACAGGGUGUAGGGAAGCUUGAGUGGGCCAAGGAUCACCUUGGAAAUCUGGAGUCUGGCGGGAGUGGCCGAGAGUUGAGGGGCUGGCUUGGGCAGGGCUGGUGAGCACCUGGUGGGAGUGUGGAGUGGGGUCCCAGGUGUCUUGGAGUCUGGGUGACAUUGGCAUGGCGUGCGGUGGGCCGAAGCCGGGGGUGUAGAGGGAAGAGGGGGGAGCCAGACAUUCAUCCCGGUCAGUUUUGGUUUCAGGUCGUGGCGGCUGGUGGACAAGGGGAGCUGGAGAGGGGUUCGCCCAGGACCUAGGGCAGUUGGGCUGUAGCUGGCAGCCGUGGGUAAGUGAGGACAGCGGUCUGUCGGCCAGGUGAGUCCCCUCCCCUCCCUGGGCCUUGCUUUGCUGGCCUUCUGCAAGGAAGAGGUUCCAGGGAGCAAGGAGCAGCGAGGAGAAGCGGCUGACCUCCCGGCAGAGCGGCAGGACAAAGGAGGGCGGUCAGGACAGGUGACAUCGUCUCAGGGGGAGCUGAGACUGUGUAGGCUGGGGGGCCGUGUGCCCUUCCCAAGUGGAAUGAGCGUUUCAAGAGAGCGGGCGGGACAUGAGGCAGGGCUGCCAGUGAGGGAGGUGACAGGUGGCUGAGGGGAUCCAGCUUGUGGGGGACCCCAGGCCCGGGUCGGACAGGAGGAGGUGGGGACUCAGGAGGCUGUAGGGUCCCCAGCCGUCACUACAUCUCACCCACCGAAAUUCAUUUAGUAGAAGGUACAGGAGCGGCUCCAGCACGGGCCUCCCAAGGCCCGUGUCGGAGCCUCGAGGGCUGGAGAGUGGGAAAGAAGGAGCAGUGCGCGGGGCGACCCGCAGCAGGACGUCACCCGGAGGGCGCGGCGGCCACAGGUACGGGCUCCAGGGAGAUUUCUGCAGCGAGGAGGCUGCUGCGGGCCCGGCCUGUGGACCACCGUUCCCGCGUGGCACUGCGGCCCAGGCGCUGGUGCGGAGAGGGCCCACGGUGUACCUGGUGGCACUGCAUGCCCUCGCCGCUCAGCUCCUGGGUCUGGUGUGCCGGACAGGAUAGCACCCAGGGGAGUCAAGGGCACUGGCGAGGCUGGACUAGGUGAGGAGGUUGGGGCGGAGUGAAUGAGAGCUCUGGUGAGGGGUCGGGGCGCAGGCAGGGGUGAAGAGUGGGAGCCUGGCGGCGAGCCAGGGGAGGCACUGGCCUCCAGAGCCUGAGGCCAAGGCGGACCUCUGGGCAACGACGGAGCAGGGAUCGGUGCCUCCGGGUUCGGACUGGAGACACGGCCAGGUCUCCAGGACGGGUGACGUGCCUGCCAGCUGCCGAAGGCCGGGCGCGAGGCUGCGCUCAGAGGGCUACGACAUGGUCUGGUGUGACGGUGAGGAUGGGCGUGACGCCGUCCGGCCUUCCCGAACAUUCUAGGCUGGCACCGCGAGGGGUCAGAACACCUACAGGUCUUGUUGCUUUGCGUUCCUGAAAGAGUCAACACGCUGCUGCUCUCUGGACCUCUAGAACCCUCCAAAUGACAAGAAAUGGUGCUACCCAGCUCAUGCCUGGGCCUUGGAACCGGGACUUCUUCAAGUCCUUCUAGCUCUGACUCAAGAGUAUGCUGCAUCCUGACGCCACUACACUUCUUGACUCAGGAAUGGGCUCCGGAAGGUGAAGCUAAAGGAACGAGACCCGCCUGACAGCACCACUGUCAGAAAUGAGCAGCCCCCGCGGCCACCGUCACCCCCCGCCUGGCAACUUCAUCUCCGUGGCCACCCUGCCGUGGCCCGGCGACCACCGGCCGCCACGCCCCCACGCCCCUCACCCUUCUCCUCUUCUUCCUUUUCUCUGUUCUCUCAUUUCCUUUCUUUGCUCUCCUUUCUGCUCGGGACGCUCGAAGCCACCGUGACUCUGUUUCCCCGUCCCUCCUGAGCUCAAUUUGCACUAAGUCGUCUGCACUGGUUUGGAGCUGCGGGCCUGGCCUCGAGUCCCCGAGCGAGCGUGCAAGCAAACUGCUGAGUGUGUCUGGCCUCUACGGCCUGCCCCGCGCCCGGCACCCGCCUGCCACCCACCUCUGGGGGUGCCCGGGUGCGGCCGAGUGUGUGAGGCCCCAGCUCCCCCUUGCCUAGUCUGGGAGCUCCUAACAGCGAGCAGACCUCGAAGCAAUUCCACGGCAGAGCCCUCGCUCCGUGCCCCUCCCCCCAGGGCUUCACAGAAGCCUUGGACUGUCAAUAAACACAGUUACAGCAACUCGUC